rnacentral:rRNA from 1 species
AUUCCAGCUCCAAUAGCGUAUAUUAAAGUUGUUGCAGUUAAAAAGCUCGUAGUUGGAUUUCUGGUGGGGACGUUUGGCCGGCCGUAACGGUUUGCGCUGAAAUGUUCUUCGCCAUCCUUGACGAAUACUGGUUCGCCAUUAAGUUGUGUGGGCUUGGAGUCGUCAUCGUUUACUGUGAAAAAAUUAGAGUGUUCAAAGCAGGCUUAUGCCGUUGAAUACAUUAGCAUGGAAUAAUAAGAUAGGACCCUGGUACUAUUUUGUUGGUUUCGAACACCGGAGUAAUGAUUAACAGGGACAGUCAGGGGCACUCGUAUUCCGCCGAGAGAGGUGAAAUUCUUAGACCAGCGGAAGACGAACCACUGCGAAAGCAUUUGCCAGGGAUGUUUUCAUCA